UUUGCAGUUUUUGGCCAGGACAGGUUUGAACUCACCACCUCUGGUAUACAGGGCCAGCGCCCUACUCCUUUGAGUCACAGGUUCAAGAUAUGAAUUGGAUGGAAAAUGAAAGUUGAUGAAAGCAGCUUAUUCUAGGACUUGGAUCCAAAUCAGUGCUAAAAGGGUCAUCAAGGUUACAAAAGCUCCUGGAAAAUGAUGGUGAUGAUGAAGGCACUAAGGAGAUUUCACCCCAAAAUACGACUACGUGGUAUAAAGAAUACUUUGAAUUAAACGUCUCUGGAGAUCAGAAAGCAUUUGGAAGAGGCUUUCCCUCUGUCUACAUAAAAGCAGACUGUCCUGAUCAGGAUCGAAGGUGGCAACUGACUUUCUUUCCUCCCGCUGGUGCCAGCAGACUGGGCCCAAAUCAUUUAGAACACAAUACCUGACUCUCAGGUAAAUUCUAUUCAUCCUCCCCAGGUACCACUUCCUGCCCCUGAACUCCAUAUUCUCCCCCUCCCUUCUAUUUUUUAUUUUUUUAGUUUUUUUAAAUUUCAGAUUAAUAUGAGAGUACAAAUGAUCAGGGUACUAUGUUUGCAUUUGUUAGGUAGGGUCCCUGGUAGUUGUGCCCCUCCCCCAGGAGGUGUGCCAUGUACCCCUACAUUGUGCCCAUUAGGCAGGAGCACGCCAAUCCUCUCCCUCCCCUCUCCUGCUCCCCCCCAUUAAAUUGAGUUUUUCUCUUGUGUGGGUGUGUAUUAGAUCAUUUACUGGCUUCAUAUUAGUAUUGAGUACACUGGAUACUUGCUUUUCCACUGUUGUGAUACUUUACUAAGAAAGUGUUUCAACUCUAUCCAGGUCCCCCUCCUUCUAAAAGGCAUCUAUCUAUAAAGGCAUCUGGGUGAUCACUCUGUGAUUCUUCCCAUGUGCAUGGCAUUUGGAAAUAAACAUUUCUUUUCUUAAUCUCCCUUAA